CCCUUAGACGUUCUGGGCCGCACGCGCGCUACACUGACACAGGCAACGAGCUUUCCUUUACCGAAAGAUAUGGGUAAUCUUUUGAAACUGUGUCGUGCUGGGGAUAGAUCCUUGCAAUUUUUGAUCUUAAACGAGGAAUUCCUAGUAAGCGCGAGUCAUCAACUCGCGUUGAUUACGUCCCUGCCCUUUGUACACACCGCCCGUCGCUACUACCGAUUGAAUGGCUUAGUGAGGCCUCAGGAUCCGCGCUUAAUGUGUGGAGAAUUUGGACAAACUACGUCAUUUAGAGGAAGUAAAAGUCGUAACA
rnacentral:rRNA from 1 species